rnacentral:rRNA from 1 species
UCCAGACUCCUACGGGAGGCAGCAGUAGGGAAUUUUCGUCAAUGGGCGCAAGCCUGAACGAGCGAUGCCGCGUGAGUGAAGAAGGCCUUCGGGUCGUAAAGCUCUGUUGCGGGGGAAAAAAGGCAGCAUCAGGAAAUGGGUGCUGACUGAUGGUGCCCCGCCAGAAAGUCACGGCUAACUACGUGCCAGCAGCCGCGGUAAUACGUAGGUGGCGAGCGUUGUUCGGAAUGACUGGGCGUAAAGGGUGCGUAGGCGGUGUAGCAAGUUAGAAGUGAAAUACCUAGAGCUUAACUCAGGUGCUGCUUCUAAAACUGCUAUACUUGAGUGCAGUAGAGGAAAGUGGAAUUCCUAGUGUAGCGGUGGAAUGCGUAGAUAUUAGGAGGAACAUCAGUGGCGAAGGCGACUUUCUGGACUGUAACUGACGCUGAGGCACGAAAGUGUGGGGAGCAAACAGGAUUAGAUACCCUCGUA